GCCCGGUUAGCUCAAUCGGUAGAGCGUGAGACUCUUAAUCUCAAGGUUGCGGGUAAGUCCAUCAUUUACA